GGGGUUUGUCAGCCACUGGGCUCUUUCCUGCUAAGCCCAAAGACAGCGUGGUCCCUCAGAGGGGUGAUGCAAUGUUCACAUCAGAAAUGGGUUCCUUCCCUCCCUCCUCGCCAUUUCUGUUCUGGGUCUGGUGUUUAUCCUGACUUGUACCCGCUUCCCUGGUAGUUUUACUCUGUUCAUAAUUUAACUUGGUUUUGUUGUUGUUGUUUGGUUUGGUUUUCCCCCUCUCAUUCCAAGUUUUAAAUGGUUUUGGGUAUUUUAAGCAUUUUCAGCCUGAUUCUGAUCUCAGGAACUCAGUUAAGUUUUACAGAGAAGUAGAUGGAAUGAUAAACCCUAGGAAACUUGCUGUUCUUCUGGAAGCCUGGGCUGGGCACUUUAACCUUCCCACCACUGCCUGCCCCAGAAGAACCCUCCAGUGUUAGAUCGCCUGUCACUCCCAUUACAGAAUCAGCUCAUAAGCUGGCCAGGCAGGUGUGUGAAGAAAUGGUGGGACUGGGGGAGAAAGAGCUUCCGGCUUCCCAGCUUUCCUCAUGUGUGUCAUCCUGAAUGAAGCCCUGUCCUCGAACUCUCACUUAAGUGAGAGAUUCUAAUCACGGGAGCUGUGGCCCCCUGUUUCUUGGGACUGUGUGAUAAUGGAAUUGAACUGCUGUUUUUGUUUUGUGUUUUAUGUCCCCUGUGGAAUAACUGUUGUCUAAUCUAUGAACUUCUAGUCCCCCCCCCCCCAGUGUUUUUGCAGGGUGUGUGCAAAGCACUCGGUCUUUGACGCCAUCCCUCACCUACUCUCCUAUUCUGAAGUCUUUCUCUUCAGCCCUCCAUUCUUCGUUAACCUGGUUGGUUUCUUGCGGGCUAUUGUUUUGUUCUGUUCUGUUUUUGUUUUGUUUUGGCUUUUAACAUUUGUUAUGUGAUUCCACCCCUCCUACAAACUUAAUUUGGUGUAAACUCUUUAGGUGACCCAUGUGAUCUCUUCACGGAUGGGGAGUUGCGUUUUUUAAGUUUCCUCCUCCGCCAUGUGGCAGGUGUUUGUUCUCUUGCCACCGCACUUCAGGUUCAGCGUCUUUAAAGCUGCUGACCCGGGCCUCCUGAGGCAGGCCCACAUUCACCGCAGCAUUAAGGGUGAAAGCCAAAGGGUUUAGAAAGAUGAGUGGAGCCGGUUCUCCCGCUGCAGACUUUGUCUCAGAACCCGAAAAGUGAGCAGUGGGAACCGGGCGGGAUAGACGAGGACAGUUAUUUUGCAAUCGCAUUUUCUUGACAGAUUUUUGGAAAUAGAAAAGAGUGUGGCAUCCGUGUCCGGAUGAUGAAGACUGGUUGCUUGUGUCUGUGCGUGUGCGUGCGGAGGAGUCUGCAAGAGAGACUGUAAUGGAGACGUUGCUUUGUCAGCCUGGGAAACAGUUGCUCUCUUAUUUUUGAACUUUGGAGCCACUAUCGUCCCAUGGCAGAAGGCAGAGUGAGCACUUAACACUUUGGUCACAAUGAGAUAUUUUAUAUAUGACAAAGUUUUAUGAGAGGCUUUUUUACUCUUUGAAACUCAUGUCUUCUGUUACUACAACAGUGUUAUCUGCUGCAGGCCUCAUAAUCCUUUACUACAGCUGCAUGUAAAUGGAACCUCUCAUCCAACCCAACUGGCGUAGGGACUUUUAGGGCGUUAUAAUGGGUGGUUUGAAUAAUUGCCGAGUCAUUUCCAAUUAAGAAAAAUCCUAAGUACAGUCCUUGGCCUUUUAGAAUUAACAGAAGUAAGCGAGAAAGCUGUGUGAGCAUGCGUAUUUACAGAUUCACUUGGGUGGCUGAGUGAAGAAGCUGGUUUUAAAAUAAAAUCGGUGCUGUGUAGACAUUUAUAACCAAAAUUAUUUUUAUAACAGACCGAGAAGGAGGAGAGAAGAGAGCAUGGACCUUUGAGCCGCAUGUUACCCAUCAUGCUUGUCUGUGUUUAACAGUGUCGUCAUCAGACGGAGAGGGAGCAUACCGUUGACAGUUAGGAGGUGAGAAGCUGUGCUCACUGGUGUUACAGAGGCGUGCCUCCCUCCGGGCACAGCAUGUAGAACAUGCUUUUCUAAAGCAGAGAUUCUUUUCAGUUGUGGGAAAGGAAAGGAGUAACACAAGAAAGCCAGAUCCAAACCCAGGCCUCCCUGUGGGCAGAGUUACCGAGCUUCCUUCCAGAUGGAUCUGUUAGUUGAAUUGUCGAGGCAUCCUGGAUUGCGUUAUGGGGGCAGGGCCACAGUUGCCUAUUUCUGCAGGCCACCGCCAUAAAUGGUACGAGCGCAGCAGAGAUGCAGGCCCCUGGUUCUGAGAGACCCUCCUGUGAAAGUGAAGCCCAUUGCAGAGGGUUAUAAUGCUACACCCAGAGAAAAGAGCCACUUAAGGGAAGGAAGAGCAAAUGCAAUUCCACCUGGGAUUCUUAGCCAUGUCCCCCCCACAGCCAUGCUGGGAGCAGAGGGCACUUGGUUAUGCAGUAUUGAUCACCACAGGAGCCUUGCACCAAUAGCUUUUCCUGACACACAGGAGUGUGGCUCUCCCACUGCAGCUUAGGCCCGGCAAGUAGAAGGUGACCCAGAAUGCUCUGUCGCUGUAUGUACUGUAAUUCCUGUCUGAAUUUUACUUUGCUCUUCAUUUCAUGUAAGACUGAAAUGCACACAAACUGCUUUCAAGAAUGCCCAGAAGCUCUGUGUCCCCACAUGUUGUGAACUCUACCGUUUUUCAUAGGUGCUUCCUUAAAAUGUAUGUUUAUCCUAGUGACCGAGAGGGGACUGAACUCUCAGGCCCUUAACAGUUGUCUCCUGCAGUUAAUGAAAAUAUAAAUAUAUAUAUAUUUUAUUUUAGAAUAUAAUUUAAACAUGAAGGUCUAUUCUUUGCACUUUUUAUUAAUAUAGAGAGAGAGAAUCUUUAAAAAAAAAUUAAAAAUCCAAGUCCAUUUAC
rnacentral:lncRNA from 1 species